GACGAACGCUGGCGGCGUGCUUAACACAUGCAAGUCGAACGGUAAGGCCCUUCGGGGUACACGAGUGGCGAACGGGUGAGUAACACGUGGGUGAUCUGCCCUGCACUUCGGGAUAAGCCUGGGAAACCGGGUCUAAUACCGGAUAGGACCAUUGCCUGCAUGGGUGGUGGUGGAAAGCUUUUGCGGUGUGGGAUGGGCCCGCGGCCUAUCAGCUUGUUGGUGGGGUGAUGGCCUACCAAGGCGACGACGGGUAGCCGGCCUGAGAGGGUGACCGGCCACACUGGGACUGAGAUACGGCCCAGACUCCUACGGGAGGCAGCAGUGGGGAAUAUUGCACAAUGGGCGCAAGCCUGAUGCAGCGACGCCGCGUGAGGGAUGACGGCCUUCGGGUUGUAAACCUCUUUCAGCAUCGACGAAGCGCAAUUGACGGUAGGUGCAGAAGAAGGACCGGCCAACUACGUGCCAGCCGCCGCGGUAA
rnacentral:rRNA from 1 species